rnacentral:rRNA from 1 species
CCCUUAGAUGUUCUGGGCCGCACGCGCGCUACACUGAGUGGAUCAGCGGGUCAGGUUGCGCGAAAGUGUUUCCUAAUCUUGAAAUCCGCUCGUGAUGGGGAUUGACGGUUGCAAUUUUCUGUCAUGAACGAGGAAUACCUUGUAAGCGCGGGUCAUCAUCCCGCGCUGAAUACGUCCCUGCCCUUUGUACACACCGCCCGUCGCUCCUACCGAUUGAGUGGUCCGGUGAGGCUUUGGGAUCUGGAUGGAAAGAGCGUUUCGCUGUUUCUGCCCGGAAAACUCAGUCGAACCUUAUCAUUUAGAGGAAGGAGAAGUCGUAACA